GGCUUCGUAGCUCAGUUGGUACAGCGCUUACCGAUUUUGGGCAUGAUGUUUCUGUCGCUGGUUCGAAUCCAGCCGAAGCCC